rnacentral:rRNA from 1 species
UACGGGGGGGGCAAGCGUUGUUCGGAAUUACUGGGCGUAAAGGGUCGUAGUGCGUGCCACUAAGUCAGACGUGAAAUCCCUCGGCUUAACCGGGGAACUGCUCUGAUACUGGAUGGCUAGAUGGAUUGGAGGAGGAGUGCGAAUUCCAGGUGUAGCGGUGAAAUGCGUAGAUAUCUGGAGGAACACCGGUGGCGAAGGCGGCAUCCUGGACCAACACUGACGCUGAGAGAGAAAGCCAGGGGAGCAAACGGG